GGGUAGAGGAGGCGGCGGCGCCGCCGCGUCGGAUUAGCCGCCCACCGUCUAUGGUGCUUAUGCUGUGGUUGUUGGUGAGGAGCGGACAGCGGUGAGGCGAGAGGGGAGGGGAGAAGGAUGGAGGGAGGGAGGAGCAGUGGCGAGGCGAGGUGAGGUGUGGGGACAAGGGUCUGCGUUGGUGGCGGCGGCUGCUGGCUGCUACGAAGCGCGGCAGGAGGAGGCGAGUCGGAGGCCGGAGGCGGCCAGUGGCUACCGGCGGGGCGAUAGGUGGCGGCGGCGGAGGACCGAGCGGCUCCCCUGGAGCAGCGUCGGAUCCCACGCGGAGGAGUAGCCGCCGCUGAAGCAGCUCAGCUUCCGGUGCCUCGUGCAGCUGCAGUGGUUGGGGCGCUGCGUCCUCCACCACAGGGCCUAGGGCGAGUGGUGGCGGCUGCUCAAGUCCCGGCGCCACCUGCGACGGUCCUGGCGGAAGGGUCCGACCGCCUCGUGCGGUCAGUGCCGCGCCGUCGCGUAGUACAAGUUUAUGGUCCUCGAGUAGGCCCGGUUGUACCUAUUCGACCGUCUCUUGUAAUGUUGGCUCGUCCCUUUCUGCGACUUUCUACGAACCCCACUACAUAAGGCACCAGAUCUCCACCACCUCGUACGAACACCUUACCCCAGUGACGUUUACCCGCUUAUGCAUAGAUUACAAAGAGUACCCUAACUGUGGAAAUCAUAAUCCCUCGGUGAACCGCAUACACGACCCUAUACGGGUAAGUUAAAGGGACGGUACUAAGGGGAUACCUACAAGGGGUAUCGACAAUGAACACCGUUAUGAAAACAAGAUUUCGGUAGUCUUUUCCUAGGUCCCCGACGAUACUACGAACGCCUCGAUCGCUACCUCCGACCAAAUGGUUUCCCACACAACUUGUAACAAGUACCAUGGGUACUACAACAGUUGUUAUAAACACUACUGCUCCGAUAAUUCCGUCAUAGUAAACAACCAAGGUUAUGUCGUCCAUACGUAUAUAUAAGAUCUCGUAGACGCUCACCCUUCGCACAAGUCACAUUGUACCCACGUUUCUUAGUACGGUAAUAGGAAGGACUACGACUAGCUCUACGGUGUAACUUACGGGAAUAACGACGGCCAAAACCACGUCGACCCGUUUCCACGUACCGUAACUCGUGACGACAAAAACAACCUCCAAGUCUUGGUACCCUCCUACUUGAUCAGUUUGCACGUUCGUCGGAACAUCAAUUAUGGCCUUGUCGAUUACUACGUCUAGAACCAGGUCACUAGUCAUCUGUCCGGUUCCUGGCGUAGACGUUCAAUCAGGUUUCACCGCGACUGUCACCACGAGCUGAACACGACCUACCCUCCCUCUAACACCAAGGAGUUAAACUCCUACCGUUGAAAUAACCAGGUUGACACAACCGACUACAAUUUCCACUAUACUUCACAAUGGUCCUCCUUUAAAAACCAGGUCAAGAAGAGAACUACUUCCGUCUCUCGGAUCUACUACGGUAUGUUUAACAUUUGUCUUUGUUCAUACCGUUACCCCGAAGGUAGAAAUGGUGUAGACCACAGAGUCGUUCCUUUAAAGUCUGCCUGUAACUUCGACCGGUCCACCCAUAGUUGCACGGUUAGGGUCAUGGGGACGGUAAGAAGAGGAAGUGCCCGUCGUUUCGAAGGAAGCGUCCUCUGAACUUAAAGAUGCCGUUCCGCCCGCACGUCAAGAAGUGGGUCUAGUUCUGGUAGUGCGUCGUCACCUUCCUCAGCAGAGGGGUCGCGCAAAGAGAGAGGUACGGGUGGAGCGUCUUCACUUCAGUGGGCUCGAUCGAGUACAUACACCUUUAUUUGGGUCCGUAACUACACCUUAAAUUCGAAGUGUCCUCAACGAAAGCAAUUCCCAUUGAGAACACUACAGAAAGUAACACGACGGCUAUUAUUCUUUCUUUUAGGGUCUAAUCUGCUGGCUUAGUGUGUGUGUGUCCUCUCGUACAUAAACAUGUCCCUGGUUUAGUUACACUUGUACGUUACCGAGUUAUAAUGUAACAGUGACUUGAACGUCGGUUUAGCGGCACACCCCGUACCGCCGGCCUCCGCCGGAUCUUUACUUCGAGAACGACCGGAGAUACACUUUAAUCUAGAAUUGGGUGUGAAAUGAAAGGGUAAACUACUAGUGGGGUGGUGAGAGUUUCUAACU
rnacentral:rRNA from 1 species